rnacentral:rRNA from 1 species
CCCUUAGACGUUCUGGGCCGCACGCGCGCUACACUGACGAAGGCAACGAGCUUUCCUUUACCGAAAGGUACGGGUAAUCUUUUGAAACUUCGUCGUGCUGGGGAUAGAUCCUUGCAAUUUUUGAUCUUAAACGAGGAAUGCCUAGUAAGCGCAAGUCAUCAACUUGCGUUGAUUACGUCCCUGCCCUUUGUACACACCGCCCGUCGCUACUACCGAUUGAAUGGUUUAGUGAGGCCUUCGGAUCCGCGACUCGUUUCGUGGAGAAGUUGGACAAACUCAGUCAUUUAGAGGAAGUAAAAGUCGUAACA